GGGUUGUGAGGUUAAGCGACUAAGCGUACACGGUGGAUGCCCUGGCAGUCAGAGGCGAUGAAGGACGUGCUAAUCUGCGAAAAGCGUCGGUAAGGUGAUAUGAACCGUUACAGCCGGCGAUGUCCGAAUGGGGAAACCCAGUGCAAUUCGUUGCACUAUCGUUAACUGAAUACAUAGGUUAACGAGGCGAACCGGGGGAACUGAAACAUCUAAGUACCCCGAGGAAAAGAAAUCAACCGAGAUUCCCCCAGUAGCGGCGAGCGAACGGGGAGCAGCCCAGAGUCUGAAUCAGCUUGUGUGUUAGUGGAACGGUCUGGAAAGUCCGACGGUACAGGGUGAUAGUCCCGUACACCAAAAUGCACAGGUUGUGAACUCGAAGAGUAGGGCGGGACACGUGGUAUCCUGUCUGAAUAUGGGGGGACCAUCCUCCAAGGCUAAAUACUCCUGACUGACCGAUAGUGAACCAGUACCGUGAGGGAAAGGCGAAAAGAACCCCGGCGAGGGGAGUGAAAAAGAACCUGAAACCGUGUACGUACAAGCAGUGGGAGCACCUUCGGGUGUGACUGCGUACCUUUUGUAUAAUGGGUCAGCGACUUAUAUUCUGUAGCAAGGUUAACCGUAUAGGGGAGCCGCAGGGAAACCGAGUCUUAACUGGGCGUUAAGUUGCAGGGUAUAGACCCGAAACCCGGUGAUCUAGCCAUGGGCAGGUUGAAGGUUGGGUAACACUAACUGGAGGACCGAACCGACUAAUGUUGAAAAAUUAGCGGAUGACUUGUGGCUGGGGGUGAAAGGCCAAUCAAACCGGGAGAUAGCUGGUUCUCCCCGAAAGCUAUUUAGGUAGCGCCUCGUGAACUCAUCUUCGGGGGUAGAGCACUGUUUCGGCUAGGGGGUCAUCCCGACUUACCAACCCGAUGCAAACUACGAAUACCGAAGAAUGUUAUCACGGGAGACACACGGCGGGUGCUAACGUCCGUCGUGAAGAGGGAAACAACCCAGACCGCCAGCUAAGGUCCCAAAGUCAUGGUUAAGUGGGAAACGAUGUGGGAAGGCACAGACAGCCAGGAUGUUGGCUUAGAAGCAGCCAUCAUUUAAAGAAAGCGUAAUAGCUCACUGGUCGAGUCGGCCUGCGCGGAAGAUGUAACGGGGCUAAACCAUGCACCGAAGCUGCGGCAGCGACACUAUGUGUUGUUGGGUAGGGGAGCGUUCUGUAAGCCUGCGAAGGUGUGCUGUGAGGCAUGCUGGAGGUAUCAGAAGUGCGAAUGCUGACAUAAGUAACGAUAAAGCGGGUGAAAAGCCCGCUCGCCGGAAGACCAAGGGUUCCUGUCCAACGUUAAUCGGGGCAGGGUGAGUCGACCCCUAAGGCGAGGCCGAAAGGCGUAGUCGAUGGGAAACAGGUUAAUAUUCCUGUACUUGGUGUUACUGCGAAGGGGGGACGGAGAAGGCUAUGUUAGCCGGGCGACGGUUGUCCCGGUUUAAGCAUGUAGGCUGAUUGUCCAGGCAAAUCCGGAUAAUCAAGGCUGAGGUGUGAUGACGAGGCACUACGGUGCUGAAGUAACAAAUGCCCUGCUUCCAGGAAAAGCCUCUAAGCAUCAGGUAACAUCAAAUCGUACCCCAAACCGACACAGGUGGUCAGGUAGAGAAUACCAAGGCGCUUGAGAGAACUCGGGUGAAGGAACUAGGCAAAAUGGUGCCGUAACUUCGGGAGAAGGCACGCUGGUGUGUAGGUGAAGUCCCUGCGGAUGGAGCUGAGACCAGUCGAAGAUACCAGCUGGCUGCAACUGUUUAUUAAAAACACAGCACUGUGCAAACACGAAAGUGGACGUAUACGGUGUGACGCCUGCCCGGUGCCGGAAGGUUAAUUGAUGGGGUUAUCCGUAAGGAGAAGCUCUUGAUCGAAGCCCCGGUAAACGGCGGCCGUAACUAUAACGGUCCUAAGGUAGCGAAAUUCCUUGUCGGGUAAGUUCCGACCUGCACGAAUGGCGUAAUGAUGGCCAGGCUGUCUCCACCCGAGACUCAGUGAAAUUGAACUCGCUGUGAAGAUGCAGUGUACCCGCGGCAAGACGGAAAGACCCCGUGAACCUUUACUAUAGCUUGACACUGAACAUUGAGCCUUGAUGUGUAGGAUAGGUGGGAGGCUUUGAAGCGUGGACGCCAGUCUGCGUGGAGCCAACCUUGAAAUACCACCCUUUAAUGUUUGAUGUUCUAACGUUGGCCCCUGACCGGGGUUGCGGACAGUGUCUGGUGGGUAGUUUGACUGGGGCGGUCUCCUCCCAAAGCGUAACGGAGGAGCACGAAGGUUAGCUAAUCCUGGUCGGACAUCAGGAGGUUAGUGCAAUGGCAUAAGCUAGCUUGACUGCGAGCGUGACGGCGCGAGCAGGUGCGAAAGCAGGUCAUAGUGAUCCGGUGGUUCUGAAUGGAAGGGCCAUCGCUCAACGGAUAAAAGGUACUCCGGGGAUAACAGGCUGAUACCGCCCAAGAGUUCAUAUCGACGGCGGUGUUUGGCACCUCGAUGUCGGCUCAUCACAUCCUGGGGCUGAAGUAGGUCCCAAGGGUAUGGCUGUUCGCCAUUUAAAGUGGUACGCGAGCUGGGUUUAGAACGUCGUGAGACAGUUCGGUCCCUAUCUGCCGUGGGCGCUGGAGAAUUGAGGGGGGCUGCUCCUAGUACGAGAGGACCGGAGUGGACGCAUCACUGGUGUUCGGGUUGUCAUGCCAAUGGCACUGCCCGGUAGCUAAAUGCGGAAGAGAUAAGUGCUGAAAGCAUCUAAGCACGAAACUUGCCCCGAGAUGAGUUCUCCCUGAGACUUUAAGUCUCCUGAAGGAACGUUGAAGACGACGACGUUGAUAGGCCGGGUGUGUAAGCGCAGCGAUGCGUUGAGCUAACCGGUACUAAUGAACCGUGAGGCUUAACCUUACAACGCCGAAG
rnacentral:rRNA from 1 species